rnacentral:rRNA from 1 species
UGACCUCGGAUCAGGUAGGAAUACCCGCUGAACUUAAGCAUAUCAAUAAGCGGAGGAAAAGAAACCAACAGGGAUUGCCUCAGUAACGGCGAGUGAAGCGGCAACAGCUCAAAUUUGAAAUCUGGCCCUAGGCCCGAGUUGUAAUUUGCAGAGGAUGCUUUUGAUGAGGUACCUUCCGAGUCCCUUGGAACAGGGCGCCAUAGAGGGUGAGAGCCCCGUCUGGUUGGAUACCGAAUCUCUGUAAAGCUCCUUCGACGAGUCGAGUAGUUUGGGAAUGCUGCUCUAAAUGGGAGGUAUAUGUCUUCUAAAGCUAAAUACCGGCCAGAGACCGAUAGCGCACAAGUAGAGUGAUCGAAAGAUGAAAAGCACUUUGGAAAGAGAGUUAAACAGCACGUGAAAUUGUUGAAAGGGAAGCGUUUACGACCAGACUUAGGCUCGGUUGAUCAAUCAGCGUUCUCGCUGGUGCACUCUGCCGGCCUAGGCCAGCAUCAGUUCGUCUCGGGGGAUAAAGGCGUCGGGAAUGUAGCUCCCUCGGGAGUGUUAUAGCCCUUCGUGCAAUACCCUGAGGUGGACUGAGGUUCGCGCUCUGCAAGGAUGCUGGCGUAAUGGUCGUCAACGACCCGUCU